UACGUAGGCAGCGAGCGUUGUUCGGAAUCACUGGGCGUAAAGCGCACGUAGGCGGAUUGCUAAGUCAGGGGUGAAAUCCUGGAGCUCAACUCCAGAACUGCCUUUGAUACUGGCGAUCUCGAGUCCGGGAGAGGUGAGUGGAACUGCGAGUGUAGAGGUGAAAUUCGUAGAUAUUCGCAAGAACACCAGUGGCGAAGGCGGCUCACUGGCCCGGUACUGACGCUGAGGUGCGAAAGCGUGGGGAGCAAACAGG
rnacentral:rRNA from 1 species